GACGAACGCUGGCGGCGUGCCUAAUACAUGCAAGUCGAACGCUGAAGGAGGAGCUUGCUUCUCCGGAUGAGUUGCGAACGGGUGAGUAGCGCGUAGGUAACCUGCCUGGUAGCGGGGGAUAACUAUUGGAAACGAUAGCUAAUACCGCAUAACAGUAGAUGUUGCAUGACAUUUGCUUAAAAGGUGCAAUUGCAUCACUACCAGAUGGACCUGCGUUGUAUUAGCUAGUUGGUGAGGUAACGGCUCACCAAGGCGACGAUACAUAGCCGACCUGAGAAGGUGAUCGGCCACACUGGGACUGAGACACGGCCCAGACUCCUACGGGAGGCAGCAGGAGGGAAUCUUCGGCAAUGGACGGAAGUCUGACCGAGCAACGCCGCGGGAGUGAAGAAGGUUUUCGGAUCGUAAAGCUCUGUUGUAAGAGAAGAACGAGUGUGAGAGUGGAAAGUUCACACUGUGACGGUAUCUGACCAGAAAGGGACGGCUAACUACGUG
rnacentral:rRNA from 1 species